CAGAAUAUCUUGAAGAGCAGGCCUCCGUGUGUGGCGAAGAAUGGGGCAAAGACAAGUGAUUCAACGGCCAUCAGUUUGAUGAGGAUGUUAAGUGAUGGUCCUGAUGUAUCCUUCAAUGGGUCCCCAAUGGUGUCACCAAUAACAGCUGCCUUGUGUGGAUCUGAUCCUUUAGGGCCAAGAGAUCUUGCAUGCUCAGAAACACCAGCCUGUUUCCAACAGAACAAUGCAGGGCAUGUUAGCAUUACAAGAUUUCAGAAUGCCAAAUUACAAAUGAAGGAGUGAUUGCGCCCGCUUAAUGUAUACCUCAAUAUAUUUCUUGGCAUUAUCCCAUGCACCACCAGUGUUGGAGGCAGAGAUGGCAAUCUAAAAUAUUGACACGGGAGAAAUAAAUGUUCAGACACGUUAGCAGGACUCCUAAACCUCAAUAAAUAUAAUCUCAAGUGUAUGUAACUAGAGAAAUUCUGUUAACCAGUAGCCUUUACCUGGACACCAGACACAAGGGACCCAGCAAGGACACCAGAGAGGGUUUCAACACCAAAAAAGAUCCCAACAAUAAGGGGUGUGAGCAUGACAAGUGCACCAGGUGCGAUCAUCUCCUUGAUGGAAGCAUCGGUAGAGAUCUUGACACAGGUUGCAUAGUCAGGCUUGGCAGUGCCUUCCAUCAAGCCAGGGAUGGUGUUGAAUUGCCUGC
rnacentral:lncRNA from 1 species